rnacentral:lncRNA from 1 species
AGAACGUGAGCCCUGGCGCACCGCUGCCCUUCCUCCUGACACGCAGAGCAAAGAAUCCUGUGCUUGGGUCUUGGUUUCAGAAAAGCUGCCUGCCUUCGUGCAACGUCACAGCUGUAGUUCGUCUCCAGGACAAGGACCCGGCUCCCAUCACUAUGCGGCUCUGGUGGAGACUGCCAGUUCAUGCCCCCAAGUCCAAGGUCCUGGAAUCCUGGAGACACUGACUCUGCCUCUGCCCAAGGUUCAUAGCUCAGCUCAGCUCCACUUGAAGCUCGGCCAAAGGAACACUUGUUCUUACCAGUGGCUUUCACUGCAUCUCUACUCUGUGCCUCUGCCCUGGGCUCGGCACAUUCUCUUCCUUUGGCAAAAACUCCGAAGAAGUCUACCCACCUCACAAGGCUCAGCAGCAAAGCUUCCUCCUCCCGGAAGCUGCAUUUUGUUUUUCUUGGGGCGGGAUGGUAAGAACUUCUUUGUUCCCCACGAGGAGAAGGCAAGCUUCCCCAGAGCAGGCUGCACCGGCUUAUCCGCAGCAUCUGUAAUAGCACUGUUAGCGCCAGCCUCCUCGGGGGCUCAGAGAACAUCUGAAGAACAGAGUGCAGAGUGAAGCCAGGGCGCCAUAGGAAAAAACCAGAAACAAAUGUCAAACAGCCUUGAAUUGUGCAUGGCUCGUGGAUGAUCUGCUGGGUAUGCUGGAACUCAUAAAGUUGGCUAGGCUGUUUACAGCUUGUGGGAACAAGCAUUUGAGCUCCUUUUGAAUAUACAAAUGUAGGGUCUGCCAACAGGAGUCCCUCCUGGGCUUGUGUUUGGGGGAGAUGGGAAGCUGAGAGGUAUGGAGUUGGUACUGAUAAAGAUUGCUGUCUUCUCUCAGGACUUACUUUUUAAAUCUUGUUUUCCUUUUUGAAAGAACCAGGUUGGGAUUAUA